rnacentral:RNase_P_RNA from 1 species
CGAGUCAGAUAAAUGGUCGCGCCUGUUUUAUACAGGUGAGGAAAGUCCGGGCUUCACAGGGCAGGAUGCCGGAUAACGUCCGGUGGAGGUGACUCUAAGGAAAGUGCAACAGAAAUAAACCGCCAUAUGUAUAUGGUAAGGAUGGAAAGGCGAGGUAAGAGCUCACCGCCUGACUGGUAACAGGCAGGGCACAUGUAAACCCCAUUCGAAGCAAGACCAAGAAGAAGGCGCGAAGGCUUGCCCGGCCAGCCUUCAGGUAGGUCGCUGGAGCUUGCUGGUAACAGUAAGUCGAGAUAGAUGACCAUUCACGACAUAACCCGGCUUAUCGUCUGGCUCGUUUU